rnacentral:rRNA from 1 species
UGGCGAACGGGUGAGUAACGCGUGAGGAACCUGCCUCAAAGAGGGGGACAACAGUUGGAAACGACUGCUAAUACCGCAUAAGCCCACGACCCGGCAUCGGGAAGAGGGAAAAGGAGCAAUCCGCUUUGAGAUGGCCUCGCGUCCGAUUAGCUAGUUGGUGAGGUAACGGCCCACCAAGGCGACGAUCAGUAGCCGACCUGAGAGGGUGACCGGCCACAUUGGGACUGAGACACGGCCCAG